GUAUCAAGUAGCUGAGAAUCGGUAACUGACGAGACAACCGAAAACGGUCAGUACGUAAGUGUCGGGUUAAACCGGGACUGAAGUUAACACAUUAAGUACUCCGCCUGAGUAGUACGUACGCAAGUAUGAAACUUAAAGGAAUUGACGGGACUCCGCACAAGCGGUGGAUCAUGUUGUUUAAUUCGAAGAUACCCGAAAAACCUUACCAGGUCUUGACAUGUUUUUGCAAAAUGAUAGUAAUAUCGUGGAGGUUACCAGAAACACAGGUGGUGCAUGGUUGUCGUCAGCUCGUGUCGUGAGAUGUUAGGUUAAGUCCUAAAACGAGCGAAACCCUUAUCGUUAGUUGCCAGCACGUUAUGGUGGGGACUUUAACGAGACUGCCAAUGAUAAAUUGGAGGAAGGUGAGGAUCACGUCAAAUCAGCAUGCCCCUUAUGACCUGGGCUACAAACGUGAUACAAUGGCUGUUACAAAGGGAAGCUGAAGA
rnacentral:rRNA from 2 species